rnacentral:rRNA from 1 species
UACGUAGGGUGCGAGCGUUGUCCGGAAUUAUUGGGCGUAAAGGGCUCGUAGGCGGCUUGUCGCGUCGGAUGUGAAAGCCCGGGGCUUACUCCGGGUCUGCAUUCGAUACGGGCAGGCUAGAGUUCGGUAGGGGAGAUCGGAAUUCCUGGUGUAGCGGUGAAAUGCGCAGAUAUCAGGAGGAACACCGGUGGCGAAGACGGGUCUCUGGGCAGUAACUGACGCUGAGGAGCGAAAGCGUGGGGAGCGAACAGG